GACGAACGCUGGCGGCGUGCUUAACACAUGCAAGUCGAACGGAAAGGCUCCAGCUUGCUGGAGUACUCGAGUGGCGAACGGGUGAGUAACACGUGGGUAAUCUGCCCUGCACUCUGGGAUAAGCCUGGGAAACUGGGUCUAAUACUGGAUAUGACCUUUCUCCUUAUGGGGUUUGGUGGAAAGUUUUUCGGUGUAGGAUGAGCCCGCGGCCUAUCAGCUUGUUGGUGGGGUGAUGGCCUACCAAGGCGACGACGGGUAGCCGGCCUGAGAGGGUGAUCGGCCACAUUGGGACUGAGAUACGGCCCAGACUCCUACGGGAGGCAGCAGUGGGGAAUAUUGCACAAUGGGCGGAAGCCUGAUGCAGCGACGCCGCGUGAGGGAUGACGGCCUUCGGGUUGUAAACCUCUUUCAGCAGGGACGAAGCGUAAGUGACGGUACCUGCAGAAGAGGCACCGGCUAACUAUGUG
rnacentral:rRNA from 1 species